GCGAAAGCAUUCAUCAAUUACAUUCUUUUUAAUCAAGAACGAAAGUCUGGGUAGCGAAGACGAUUAGAUACCGUUGUAGUCUAGACCAUAAACGAUGAUUUCUCAGGAUAUCAUUUACAAAUUAAACAAUCUAAAGUUCAUUAAGCAUAUAUAGUAAUAUAUACGCUUGCUCGACAAAUGAUGCACUGUGUGGGAAACUAUUUAGAGUUCUACGUGGAGUGUAUGUUAGCAAUGAUGAAAUUUAAAAGAAUUGACGGAAGUACCACCACCAGGAGUGGAUUAUGCGAUUCAAAUUGACUCAACGCGAGGAAGCUUACCAGUGCCGAACACCGUGAGGAAAGACAGAUUGCAGCUCUUUCUUGAUUCUGUGCUUGUUAAAUGUAGUGCAUGGCCUUUGGGAAGUGAGUGGAUUG
rnacentral:rRNA from 1 species